rfam:Ktedonobacter sp. 13_1_40CM_4_52_4 13_1_40cm_4_scaffold_6553, whole genome shotgun sequence.
GUCAACGACCCCGGCCUGAAGGCCGGAGCUUGCAGGAGCAAUCCUGACGGCUCAAGGUUGACCAGCCUACGCCGCUGUGCGCGGCUCCGUUGUACGGAGGUUGCAAGACUCACCCUGGAAUGCUUCCUCAGUUCCAGGCCCUGAAACCUGCGGUUGCAGACACGCUGUGGGUCGGCACGAAACGGACCGCAAGGAUACGCCGCCGUGCAACAUUGGCGAGGGGAGAGAAGC